CGACCCCAUCUCGCUCCUAUCCCUAGAAGCCUAGGAGUUGAAAGCCAUAACACCUCGACCCCUUUUGCCUCCUCGGCCAACACUGCUCCUUACACAAAACUCAGUGAGGGGAGAAGAAUCGAGGGAGAGCCACCCACGACGAACGCACGGUACACCAUCGCCUGGGCUUUGGCACGAUGCUCAUGAUCUUCGCCAGGGCGCAAACAGAAACGUCGGUAGCGUUUGUUGAAUUGGGGAUCAUCUCUGCAUCAGGGAAUUUCUCAUCGGAGCUUGGAGACGUCGUGGAUCCGCCACCCACCGUGGGUCGGCUUCUCUAUCGCCUCCAAACUCUG
rnacentral:lncRNA from 7 species